UGAGUGCUAGGUGUUGGAUCCUUUCCGGGAUUCAGUGCCGCAGCUAACGCAUUAAGCACUCCGCCUGGGGAGUACGACCGCAAGGUUGAAACUCAAAGGAAUUGACGGGGGCCCGCACAAGCGGUGGAGCAUGUGGUUUAAUUCGAAGCAACGCGAAGAACCUUACCAGGUCUUGACAUCCCGAUGCUAUUUCUAGAGAUAGAAAGUUACUUCGGUACAUCGGUGACAGGUGGUGCAUGGCUGUCGUCAG
rnacentral:rRNA from 1 species